AUGAGAGAGUGGGCAGAAACGGUUAAGGUAGGAGAGGUUGGGGCAGAGCUGGUUAAGGUAGGAGAGGUUGGGGCAGAGCUGGUUAAGGUAGGAGAGGUUGGGGCAGGAACGGUUAAGGUAGGAGAGGUUGGGGCAGAGCUGGUUAAGGUAGGAGANNNNNNNNNNNNNNNNNNNNNNNNNAGAAAGGUUUGGGGCAGGAUGGUUAAGGUAGGAGAGGUUGGGGCAGAGCUGGUUGAAGGUAGGAAGAGGUUGGGGCAGAGCUGGUUUAAGGUAGAGAGGGUUGAGGCAGGAAUUUUUAAGGUAGGGGAGGUUGGGGCAGGGCUGGUUAAGGUAGGAGAGGUUGGGGCAGGGCUGGUUAAGGGAGAAGAGGUUGGGGCAGGGCUGGUUAAGGUAGGAGAGGUUGAGGCAGGAAUUUUUAAGGUAGGGGAGGUUGGGGCAGGGCUGGUUAAGUCAGGGGAGGUUGAGGCAGGGCUGGUUUGUGAUGGCUGGGUGGAAUGGGUUGUGAUUACCGGUAAUGGGAAUGGGGAAAAUAAGAAAUCAAAGUGUGGUGCAGUAGGUGAUAUUAAUGUGAAGGGACUGGACAUGGAGGCUGAUGGUGUUCCCAGAGGAAGGGUGGCUGAGGCACAAAUCCUGUAUGUCCAGGAUUUGUUGGAGCAGAUUGACUUGGGAGCCCUGUGGUGUCCAGCCAGAUGUGAUGGGUUGGGGUGUAGAGCCAGAGUGGAUGGAGUGAGAUGGUGCAGCACAGGAGGUGAUGGAUUGGGGUGGCACUGUUAGUGCUGGCCAAAGUGUUGAUGGUGAGGGUAGCUCCUCCAUGGGGGUAAAGCUGACUCCACAGUUCCCUCUGCUGCUGGUGGGGGACCAGAGUUGGAGAUUUCUCCCUGAGAGAGACCUGGACAAGAGGAUUCGGUCAAUAUUAUUUCAGAUAUUUUAUAUUAUUUAUCACUUCUUGUUGAAAUUAUUUCCUUUAAAAUGUCAUGUUUUCUGUUAGUAUGGCAUUAUGCUUUUUCAUUAAAAUAAAGAACACACACUGGUCUCUGAUGAGUAGCCUUACACACGUUACACACGUCUGCAGCGAUACGCAGCUAACAAUGACUAUACAUUUAUGGGCGGAUCCGUUUGACUGAAACAAAAAAAAUAUCACAAC
rnacentral:lncRNA from 1 species